rnacentral:tRNA from 1 species
CGGCUCGCGAGCCUCGUCGGGCUGAUCGCCCGGGCGGUGGGCUCGCCCGCCGGCAUCGUGGCGGGGCAGGCCUGGGGAUCGGAGCCCUACGUGGCGC